rnacentral:rRNA from 1 species
UACGUAGGGUGCGAGCGUUAAUCGGAAUUACUGGGCGUAAAGCGUGCGCAGGCGGUUUUGUAAGUCAGAUGUGAAAUCCCCGGGCUCAACCUGGGAACUGCGUUUGAAACUACAAGGCUAGAGUAUGGUAGAGGGGGGUAGAAUUCCACGUGUAGCAGUGAAAUGCGUAGAGAUGUGGAGGAAUACCAAUGGCGAAGGCAGCCCCCUGGACUAAUACUGACGCUCAUGCACGAAAGCGUGGGGAGCAAACAGG